GCCCAGAGGAGCCACAUCUCUCCCUCCCUCCCUCUCUCUCUCUCUCUCUCUCUCUCUCUCCCCAGAACAAACCUCACCCAUCACCAUCACCACUUUCACAGGAGGGGAGAGAGGUGAGAAUCUCCCCACCCAGGCAAAAUUAACAGUACCUCAUCACCAUCUUCCUCCUCACCAUAUCACACUUCACCCUCAACCACAACAAAGCUCAGCUCCUCUCCCUCUCUCUCUCUCUCUCCUCAUCAUCCAACUCCAACUCCAACUCCACCGCCAUCACCACUACCACCACCCCCACACCCCCUUUGAUCUCUCUCUCUCUUCCACCCCCCCACUACCCAACUGUUCAUGAGCACAGACCCUUCUUUUUUCAUUUCUCCCAAUAAUGACCCCAGAAGACUCCCUGAGAUCUCUUUCCUUAGACUACCUCAACCUCCUCAUCAACGGUGAGGCCUUCAGCGAUGUCACCUUCACCGUCGAGGGCCGCCUCGUCCACGCCCACCGCUGCAUCCUUGCCGCCCGCAGCCUCUUCUUCCGCAAGUUCUUCUGCGGCCCCGACCCGCCUUCCGGCCUCCUCGACGCCGCAGGCUGCCCCCGUGGCAACCCUCAGGGGGCGGCCCACCACCCGUCGAGGCCGCCGCCUCCGCCGGGGGUGAUCCCGGUGAACUCGGUCGGGUACGAGGUCUUCUUGCUGGUGCUGCAGUUCCUGUACAGCGGGCAGGUCUCGAUCGUGCCACAGAAGCACGAGCCGAGGCCUAAUUGCGGCAACAGAGGGUGCUGGCACACGCAUUGCACCUCCGCUGUCGAUCUCGCCCUCGACACCCUCGCCGCCGCGCGAUCCUUCGGUGUCGAGCAGCUUGCACUGCUCACUCAGAAGCAAUUAGCAAGCAUGGUGGAGAAGGCCUCAAUAGAAGAUGUGAUGAAAGUACUAAUUGCCUCAAGAAAGCAGGAGAUGCAUCAACUUUGGACUACUUGCUCCCACCUCGUCGCGAAAUCUGGCCUUCCACCCGAAGUCUUGGCCAAACAUCUCCCGAUUGACGUUGUGGCUAAGAUUGAAGAGCUCAGGCUGAAGUCGUCGAUGGCUAGGCGAUCCAUAAUGCCGCACCACCACCAUCCCCACGACCUGAGCACGGCCGCUGAGCUCGAGGAGCAAAAGAUCCGGCGGAUGAGAAGAGCCCUCGACUCUUCUGACGUUGAGCUCGUGAAACUCAUGGUCAUGGGCGAGGGCCUAAAUCUAGACGCAGCACUAGCACUUCAUUAUGCAGUUGAAAAUUGUAGCCGGGAGGUCGUCAAGGCAUUGCUUGAGCUUGGGGCGGCGGACGUUAACCACCCAGCAGGGCCCAGUGGCAAGACCCCACUCCACCUUUCUGCUGAGAUGGUCUCCCCGGACAUGGUGGCAGUCCUACUCGACCACCACGCAGAUCCCACGGUCCGCACAGCUGAUGGCAUCACACCUCUUGACGUGCUCCGAACCCUAACCUCUGAUUUCCUCUUCAAAGGGGCAGUCCCGGGUUUAGCCCACAUCGAGCCAAACAAGCUUAGGCUAUGUCUGGAGCUUGUCCAAUCGGCAGCCCUCGUGAUCUCGCGAGAAGAAGCUGGGAAUGCCAACGCGAACACAAACGCUUCUUCUAGUACCACGACUAUCUACCCACCGAUGUGCGGUGAUGAUCAUAGUAGCGGCAGUAGUGGCAACAACAUGGGCAACAUCAACCUUGAUUCAAGAGUGUACCUAAAUCUCGGUACACAAAUGGGGUCUAGAAUGGAUGAAGAUGAUCAAAGUAGCCGAAAUAACCAGAGGGAAACCAUGAAUUUGUACGGUUCUCAAGGUUUGUAUCGUCACUCGCACGACUUCUAGCUAGGCUCUCAGGCUCAAGCUCAAGCUCAACUAUCUACACAUAUGAUAGGAGUCAAGUCAUUCUCUUUUCACGACAACCAUUAGAUGGACUGAUUCUGUGCAUUGCCGAAAGGCGAUGCGUUUGCUCUUUCUAUUGGCACAACGAAGCAUCAAACGAGGUGCGCAAUUCUAAGUGGUGCCCACAAAACUCGAAGCGUUCACAUUAAUCGGCCUUCGAAGAGCAUCGCUGUGCACCUUUUGAAACGAUAUAAAUUUGUAGACAUGGGUGUAGUGCGAGUGUAUAUCAUACAAGCAAGCAAAACAUCACACUUUAAGCUUAAUUAAGCAAACAAAAAGGGCAGUGAAAGGCAGUAGUUUCUUUGUUCCUGCUAUCUCUUCUUCCCAAAUGCCCAAAUCAGGAGCACACCAGAACCCACCUCCUCCCGGUUACCCGACAGACAACCUGCCACACACCAGGAAAAGCAAGUUAUUGUGCUGCAGCCGCACGAAGAUGAAAGGAGACUCUCGAGAGAGGGGCUUCAUAGAAGGAUGCCUGUUUGCUCUAUGCUGCUGCUGGCUCUGUGAGGAAUGCUGCAACUAGUGAGUGUGAGCGAUAGCUUUGCUGGAGAAUUCAUCAAUCUUCAACUUAGAGCGCGCGCGCGUGCAUAACAGAGUGUAAAAGUUCGCUAUGGUCGGUAUGAUGUAAUUCUUCUACAGAUGAAGUACCUCAAUACCAUAUUUUCCCUCGACGCGAGCUGGUCACUCUUGAUUUGCCAUCUGUAUCUGAUUUAUAUUAAUCCUUUUGCUUUCCGAA